UGCCUCGUUUGUCCCCAUGAU
rnacentral:snRNA from 1 species